AAAUCAUAUCAACCAACUUUCUCUACAGAGAGGGGGAACUGAACAGUAGAAAAUCUUUAGCAAGAGAACAAAGGAUCCAGGGGGUAGUGGUGCUGGCUGGAAAGAUCUUAUCCAGGAGUGGAUGGGAAACUUUGCUGACUGGCAGAACUCUAAGAGCUAAUUGACCCAGACACCACAUGAAGAAAGAGAUACCAGGAAUAUGGUUGAACUAGGCCACAACUUGAUUAUGUCACACAUCUGGGAAUUAUCUGAUUCUAUGGAAGACUGAAGAACUGAUAGGAGCAUCACACUAGGAGUACCUUGAAAAUAAACCUGAUUAAAGAGAAAAUAACUUGAAAAUCACAAUUCCAUCUGAAAAUUGUGUAUAGCUACUGUUGUCACAGGUAACAACCCCCAAGUGAGAAAACUGAGAUAGUUAAGGUCUCACAGCAAGUCAAAGGUAGAGCCAGAAAC